AUUGAACGCUGGCGGCAUGCCUUACACAUGCAAGUCGAACGGCAGCACGGGAGCAAUCCUGGUGGCGAGUGGCGAACGGGUGAGUAAUGCAUCGGAACGUACCCGGAAGUGGGGGAUAACGUAGCGAAAGUUACGCUAAUACCGCAUAUUCUGUGAGCAGGAAAGCGGGGGAUCUUCGGACCUCGUGCUUUCGGAGCGGCCGAUGUCGGAUUAGCUAGUUGGUGGGGUAAAGGCCUACCAAGGCGACAAUCCGUAGCAGGUCUGAGAGGAUGAUCUGCCACACUGGGACUGAGACACGGCCCAGACUCCUACGGGAGGCAGCAGUGGGGAAUUUUGGACAAUGGGCGCAAGCCUGAUCCAGCCAUGCCGCGUGAGUGAAGAAGGCCUUCGGGUUGUAAAGCUCUUUUGUCAGGGAAGAAAUGGUUUGGGCUAAUACCCUGAAUCGAUGACGGUACCUGAAGAAUAAGCACCGGCUAACUACGUGCCAGCCGCCGCAGUAAAAC
rnacentral:rRNA from 1 species